rnacentral:rRNA from 1 species
GAUGAACGCUGACAGAAUGCUUAACACAUGCAAGUCUUUGGCGAAGCUGUGCUUGCACCGCCUAGCCAAGGCGGACGGGUGAGUAACGCGUAAGGAACUUGCCCUGCAGCCAGGGAUAACAGACGGAAACGACUGAUAAGACCUGGUAAAGUCAGGCGGACUCAUGUCCAGCCUGAUGAAAAGAGAUGCUGCAGGAGAGCCUUGCGUCCUAUUAGCUUGUUGGUGGGGUAACGGCCCACCAAGGCGAUGAUAGGUAGCCGGCCUGAGAGGGUGGACGGCCACAAGGGGACUGAGAUACGGCCCUUACUCCUACGGGAGGCAGCAGUGGGGAAUAUUGGACAAUGGGGGCAACCCUGAUCCAGCAAUUCUGUGUGCACGAUGAAGGUUUUCGGAUUGUAAAGUGCUUUCAGCAGGGAAGAAAAAAAUGACGGUACCUGCAGAAGAAGCGACGGCUAAAUACGUG